rfam:Homo sapiens chromosome 2, GRCh38 reference primary assembly.
GUCUACUGCCCUACCACCCUGAAAGCGCCCCAUCUCAUUUGAUCUUGGAAGCUAAGCAGUGUUGAGCCUGGUGAGUAGUUGGAUGGGAAACAUGUUGGAUACAAAAAUGGAGAAUCUGCU